ACGGGGUGCAGCAGGCGCGAAACCUUUACACUGCACGACAGUGCGAUAGGGGGACUCCGAGUGUGAGGGCAUAUAGCCCUCGCUUUUCUGAACCGUAAGGUGGUUCAGGAACAAGGACUGGGCAAGACCGGUGCCAGCCGCCGCGGUAAUACCGGCAGUCCAAGUGAUGGCCGAUAUUAUUGGGCCUAAAGCGUCCGUAGCUUGCUGUGUAAGUCCAUUGGGAAAUCGACCAGCUCAACUGGUCGGCGUCCGGUGGAAACUACACAGCUUGGGGCCGAGAGACUCAACGGGUACGUCCGGGGUAGGAGUGAAAUCCUGUAAUCCUGGACGGACCACCAAUGGGGAAACCACGUUGAGAGACCGGACCCGACAGUGAGGGACGAAAGCCAGGGUCUCGAACCGGAUUAGAUACCCGUGUAGUCC
rnacentral:rRNA from 1 species